rnacentral:lncRNA from 1 species
UUUUCAGUAUCCUCAAAUGUUAGUUUGGAUCCUGGAUUGGUUUGUGAUGAAAAUUUUAAUAUCAUCGGUAUUUUUGAGGGGCGUGACAGAGGUGGUAUCAGAGCAUGGUUUGAGGAUUAUUAAAAUAUUUGAUAUGUUGACGUGCAAAAUAUAUUGAGGUCUAAUGAACUAUAGUGAUUGGUGGAAAUUUUCUUUGAUGCAUUUUAGGAAUC